GAUGAACGCUAGCGGCAGGCCUAACACAUGCAAGUCGAGGGGCAGCGCGAUGUAGCAAUACAUUGGCGGCGACCGGCGCACGGGUGCGUAACGCGUAUGCAACCUACCAAUAACAGGGGGAUAAGCGAGAGAAAUUUCGUCUAAUACCCCGUAACACUUAAUAAGGCAUCUUAUAAAGUUGAAAGAAUUUCGGUUAUUGAUGGGCAUGCGUGACAUUAGCUAGAUGGUGAGGUAACGGCUCACCAUGGCUACGAUGUCUAGGGGAACUGAGAGGUUUAUCCCCCACACUGGUACUGAGACACGGACCAGACUCCUACGGGAGGCAGCAGUGAGGAAUAUUGGUCAAUGGACGCAAGUCUGAACCAGCCAUGCCGCGUGCAGGAAGACGGCUCUAUGAGUUGUAAACUGCUUUUAUAAGGGAAUAAAAAGAGUCACGAGUGACUAAUUGAAUGUACCUUACGAAUAAGGAUCGGCUAACUCCGUGCCAGCAGCCGCGGUAAUAC
rnacentral:rRNA from 1 species